GGAAGCUGUGAUGGAGUUUUCAGUUUUCACUCUCAAAUCAAUUGUGUUGUUGUUGUUGGUUGCUUCUUCUUCAACGUCUCUCUGAGUCAGUCUACCUGUCACUCAGGUUAGUUUUGUCAUUCCACUACUCUCUUUUUUCAGAUCAGGGAUUAACUUAGAUAAUUAAUUCAUAGAUUUUCUUUUUUCUAAGAAUGAACAUUAUUACACUUU
rnacentral:lncRNA from 1 species